GGAAGUUACUUAAUCCCUAAUAAUAAAUUCGCCAUUUUAAUAAACUUUAUUAAGUAUUAAUCAAAAUGAAUUUAAAGAUUUUACCUAUAAAAGGAAAAUUGCUAAAUACAUUUUUCUUUGAUUUAUCAAUUUUUUUACCACUAAACGUUUAAAAUGAAGAAUCAGCUGAUCAUGGAAGUUAUUCAAUAUUUUAUUUUGAGCCGGAAUUCACUGCAAUUGUGAAUUGGUUUAAGAAUAAAGUAUUUUUCGAUAUUGGAUUUUUUUGCUCAAUGCAAAAGUAGUGAAUAUUAUUAUUAAAGGAACAAUUUAUUUAAUAGCUGACUGAACAUGGAGAUCUCCAAUUUUUUCUGCAUAUCGGUGAAGAAUAAAUUCCCAACCGAAGUAUCGAAAAGAUUGUUUAUCGGUUUGGAAUAUUUAAUGGAAAACGUUAUUAUCAUCAAUAGAACUAAACUGAGUUGGUAAUGUAAGUGUAACAAUUCGAAAUUGACCAAUUUUUGUUGUACUGCUAGUUCCACUAGAGGCUGUCCGCCGUUGUCCCAUAUAUUUUCGAAAUUUAACUGGGCUUUAGAAACCCUUUGAGAUUGUAUAGCGGUCUGCAUAAACGAAUCUAAGAAUUUGUUCAAUAUAUUCGAAAAAAGGGACAUUUGGUAAUCUGUUAGACCGGUCUCUUGUUUACACAGUCGUUCCUUUGGAACCUUUCCAACUUUAUUUAUCAAUUUGCUUGCACUCUCGCUGACUAUUUUCAAAUGGGUGUUCCAUAUUAGUUGGUACAGACCUAAAAAAUAAUUUUUAUUCAGAUUUUGAUACUCGAACAAAGCUGUAGAAAUUACAGAAAGAUCUAUACCGAAUAAAUAACCCGGAAACUCUGAAAUAAGAGUUCUAGCUCAAUUUGGGCAAAAAAGGCAAGCGGAGAAGUGAAUGGUGGUACGAGAAGUGUCAAAAAUGGGUCUAAUACAAUAAGAUAGAAAAGGGAAGCCAAUAGAAACAAAAAAAAACUGAAUGAGGAUGGUGAAAGAAGAAUAAAAAGAUAAUAGAUAGAUGAAAAAAUCAAUAAGAUGGAAAAAGGAAGCAAUGGAAACAAAAAAACUGAGAAAAGAAUGUAGAAGAUAAAUUAAAAAAAUUGAUACAUGAAAAAAUUAAUGGAUGGAGAGCUAGGGACAACAAAAGAAAUGGAAAAGGGUAGUAAACAAGCUGAAAUGGUGCGAAGACAAUGACUGAGCUUUCCGAAGCACAUAAAGGACCUGGUGUCAUUGUAUACAUAUACAUAUCCUGUUUCGUGAUGAUUUAUUUCGAUUUUGAGUCUACUUUUGUACAGGAGGAAUUUUUAUCUGUUAUUUUGGACUAAUUUUUUAUUAAACGAAACCUGAAAUCAAUAUAAAUAAUCACGAAAUGGAUGUAAAAAGGACUAAGAAGUAAAAUUUACAAAUAUUCAGUUACCUUGUCUUAUAUGAACGUCUCUAAUACAAUUCAAACAACUUAUUGCCGCUUCUAAUAAAUCUAAAUUUUGCAUAUCCUUUUGCCAUGCCGAAGCAUAUUCCCAGGACAUGUUCGUUAACAGAUAAUUUGAAUUAACGCUGUAAGGAAAUUGUUUUUUUAACAAAUUUAUAUGUAAAAACAAAUUUUCUUCUUUAAUCGAAUGAUCUAUUGUCGCCCAAUUUUCCUGUAAAAUAUUAAAUAAAGUUUUUUAUUUCAUUA